CACAUGGUAAUGACACCAUCUAAGGUCCUCUACCAUCCCAUACACAGCCCUGUUCGGCAGUAAAUCGCUCCACUGUGCUGCUGUUGCUGCUGCCUGAAACCUCUGCUCGUACAGGGAGGAGAGGACAGAUGCAGUUUCUUUAUCAUCCACCAACUUCUCAAUCAUCCAUCUGGAUAUGAAUUUCACCAUUCUUCAUUUUUAUCUUAUAAUUAUGUUCCGGUCAUGAUGCCAUAAGAAGCAGAAAACAACCACAGUCCUCCCUUGGACUAGCAAUUUAGUUUUUUUGUUUUUAUUGAUGUAGAGUUGGUGAUAUUAUUACUUUUGUGUGACCUAUAAGCCAUUACAGUGUUAGUGCCACAUAAAGUUUUCUAAAUUUGUUAUAUCCUAAUAUACCCUAUUAUGUGCUACCCUGAGAGGUGUUCAAUAAAUGACAAUUAUGGAUUAUCAGAUGCUCUGAUAGACUCCUCAUGCCUAUACCCCACGUUGAUUGGUUUUCUGUAUGAUAGGGAGCCUACUGACACUUCUCCCUUUACAUAUGAAGGGCCAGGGUUACAUUCCUUAGUCUAGGUGGUGAUCUAAUCAUCAAAACUGGACUUGGAGAUAUGUUGAUUGAUGGGAUCCUGUGCUGGAUUCUGACUGUCACUCCCUAGUGCACUUUAAAACAAGGAGA